AGAGUUUGAUCCUGGCUCAGGAUGAACGCUGGCGGCGUGCCUAAUACAUGCAAGUCGAACGCACAGCGAAAGGUGCUUGCACCUUUCAAGUGAGUGGCGAACGGGUGAGUAACACGUGGAUAACCUACCUCAAGGUUGGGGAUAACAUUUGGAAACAGAUGCUAAUACCGAAUAAAACUUCGUAUCGCAUGAUACAAGGUUAAAAGGCGCUACGGCGUCACCUAGAGAUGGAUCCGCGGUGCAUUAGUUAGUUGGUGGGGUAAAGGCCUACCAAGACAAUGAUGCAUAGCCGAGUUGAGAGACUGAUCGGCCACAUUGGGACUGAGACACGGCCCAAACUCCUACGGGAGGCUGCAGUAGGGAAUCUUCCACAAUGGGCGAAAGCCUGAUGGAGCAACGCCGCGUGUGUGAUGAAGGCUUUCGGGUCGUAAAGCACUGUUGUAUGGGAAGAACAGCUAGAGUAGGGAAUGACUUUAGUUUGACGGUACCAUACCAGAAAGGGACGGCUAAAUACGUGCCAGCAGCCGCGGUAGUACGUAUGUCCCGAGCGUUAUCCGGAUUUAUUGGGCGUAAAGCGAGCGCAGACGGUUGAUUAAGUCUGAUGUGAAAGCCCGGAGCUCAACUCCGGAAAGGCAUUGGAAACUGGUCAACUUGAGUGCAGUAGAGGUAAGUGGAACUCCAUGUGUAGCGGUGGAAUGCGUAGAUAUAUGGAAGAACACCAGCGGCGAAGGCGGCUUACUGGACUGUAACUGACGUUGAGGCUCGAAAGUGUGGGUAGCAAACAGGAUUAGAUACCCUGGUAGUCCACACCGUAAACGAUGAACACUAGGUGUUAGGAGGUUUCCGCCUCUUAGUGCCGAAGCUAACGCAUUAAGUGUUCCGCCUGGGGAGUACGACCGCAAGGUUGAAACUCAAAGGAAUUGACGGGGACCCGCACAAGCGGUGGAGCAUGUGGUUUAAUUCGAAGCAACGCGAAGGACCUUACCAGGUCUUGACAUCCUUUGAAGCUUUUAGAGAUAGAAGUGUUCUCUUCGGAGACAAAGUGACAGGUGGUGCAUGGUCGUCGUCAGCUCGUGUCGUGAGAUGUUGGGUUAAGUCCCGCAACGAGCGCAACCCUUAUUGUUAGUUGCCAGCAUUCAGAUGGGCACUCUAGCGAGACUGCCGGUGACAAACCGGAGGAAGGCGGGGACGACGUCAGAUCAUCAUGCCCCUUAUGACCUGGGCUACACACGUGCUACAAUGGCGUAUACAACGAGUUGCCAACCUGUGAAGGUGAGCUAAUCUCUUAAAGUACGUCUCAGUUCGGACUGCAGUCUGCAACUCGACUGCACGAAGUCGGAAUCGCUAGUAAUCGCGGAUCAGCACGCCGCGGUGAAUACGUUCCCGGGUCUUGCACACACCGCCCGUCA
rnacentral:rRNA from 1 species